AGACUCUAGUGUAACUGGCGACGAGAGUGGGAUACCACGAUGGAGCACUAGAGAUACGGCCGGUCGCCUGGGCAGAAGAG
rnacentral:ncRNA from 2 species